rnacentral:rRNA from 2 species
GGCCGGGAACUCAAAGGAGACUGCCAGUGAUAAACUGGAGGAAGGUGGGGAUGACGUCAAGUCAUCAUGGCCCUUACGACCAGGGCUACACACGUGCUACAAUGGCGCAUACAAAGAGAAGCGACCUCGCGAGAGCAAGCGGACCUCAUAAAGUGCGUCGUAGUCCGGAUUGGAGUCUGCAACUCGACUCCAUGAAGUCGGAAUCGCUAGUAAUCGUAGAUCAGAAUGCUACGGUGAAUACGUUCCCGGGCCUUGUACACACCGCCCGUCACACCAUGGGAGUGGGUUGCAAAAGAAGUAGGUAGCUUAACCUUCGGGAGGGCGCUUACCACUUUGUGAUUCAUGACUGGGGUGAAGUCGUAACAAGGUAACCGUAGGGGAACCUGCGGUUGGAUCACCUCCUUA